rnacentral:rRNA from 1 species
CACAUGCAAGUCGAGCGGGGCGAUGGUGCUUGCACUAUCACUUAGCGGCGGACGGGUGAGUAAUGCUUAGGAAUCUGCCAUUUAGUGGGGGACAACAUUCCGAAAGGAAUGCUAAUACCGCAUACGUCCUACGGGAGAAAGCAGGGGAUCUUCGGACCUUGCGCUAAAUGAUGAGCCUAAGUCGGAUUAGCUAGUUGGUGGGGUAAAGGCCUACCAAGGCGACGAUCUGUAGCGGGUCUGAGAGGAUGAUCCGCCACACUGGGACUGAGACACGGCCCAGACUCCUACGGGAGGCAGCAGUGGGGAAUAUUGGACAAUGGGCGGAAGCCUGAUCCAGCCAUGCCGCGUGUGUGAAGAAGGCCUUUUGGUUGUAAAGCACUUUAAGCGAGGAGGAGGCUCUUCUAGUUAAUACCUAGGAUGAGUGGACGUUACUCGCAGAAUAAGCACCGGCUAACUCUGUGCCAGCAGCCGCGGUAAUACAGAGGGUGCGAGCGUUAAUCGGAUUUACUGGGCGUAAAGCGUGCGUAGGCGGCUGAUUAAGUCGGAUGUGAAAUCCCUGAGCUUAACUUAGGAAUUGCAUUCGAUACUGGUCAGCUAGAGUAUGGGAGAGGAUGGUAGAAUUCCAGGUGUAGCGGUGAAAUGCGUAGAGAUCUGGAGGAAUACCGAUGGCGAAGGCAGCCAUCUGGCCUAAUACUGACGCUGAGGUACGAAAGCAUGGGGAGCAAACAGGAUUAGAUACCCUGGUAGUCCAUGCCGUAAACGAUGUCUACUAGCCGUUGGGGCCUUUGAGGCUUUAGUGGCGCAGCUAACGCGAUAAGUAGACCGCCUGGGGAGUACGGUCGCAAGACUAAAACUCAAAUGAAUUGACGGGGGCCCGCACAAGCGGUGGAGCAUGUGGUUUAAUUCGAUGCAACGCGAAGAACCUUACCUGGCCUUGACAUACUAGAAACUUUCCAGAGAUGGAUUGGUGCCUUCGGGAAUCUAGAUACAGGUGCUGCAUGGCUGUCGUCAGCUCGUGUCGUGAGAUGUUGGGUUAAGUCCCGCAACGAGCGCAACCCUUUUCCUUAUUUGCCAGCGAGUA